UACGAAGGGGGCUAGCGUUGUUCGGAAUGACUGGGCGUAAAGGGCGCGUAGGCGGCCUAAUAAGUUUGGUGUGAAAGUCCUGGGCUUAACCUGGGGAUUGCACUGAAAACUAUUAGGCUAGAGAUCAAGAGAGGAAAAUGGAAUUGCGAGUGUAGAGGUGAAAUUCGUAGAUAUUCGCAAGAACACCAGUGGCGAAGGCGGUUUUCUGGCUUGAUACUGACGCUAAGGCGCGAAAGCGUGGGGAGCAAACAGG
rnacentral:rRNA from 1 species